UACGCACCGGUGGAAGCUCGGGUACGGCGCCACGGCUUCGGCAUCCUCGCCUGGGUCGGGCGGCAACGGCGUGAAGUCGUCAUUCGCCCAGUGUGCCUCC
rnacentral:SRP_RNA from 14 species